rnacentral:rRNA from 1 species
GACGAACGCUGGCGGCGUGCCUAACACAUGCAAGUCGAACGGAACUGUUUUGAAAGAUUUCUUCGGAAUGAAUUUGAUUUAGUUUAGUGGCGGACGGGUGAGUAACGCGUGAGUAACCUGCCUUCAAGAGGGGAAUAACAUUCUGAAAAGAAUGCUAAUACCGCAUGACAUAUUGGAACCACAUGGUUUUGAUAUCAAAGAUUUUAUCGCUUGAAGAUGGACUCGCGUCCGAUUAGUUAGUUGGUGAGGUAACGGCUCACCAAGACCGCGAUCGGUAGCCGGACUGAGAGGUUGAACGGCCACAUUGGGACUGAGACACGGCCCAGACUCCUACGGGAGGCAGCAGUGGGGGAUAUUGCGCAAUGGGGGCAACCCUGACGCAGCAACGCCGCGUGAAGGAUGAAGGUUUUCGGAUUGUAAACUUCUUUUAUUAAGGACGAAAAAUGACGGUACUUAAUGAAUAAGCUCCGGCUAACUACGUG